AAACAACGGUUCACAGGCCACAGAUGGGGCUGUCCAGCUAGCAAGGAGCAGAGCUGGGGUUCACACCCGGGUCUUGUCUCUUCUGGGCCUGUGCUGCCAUUGCAUUUACCAUCCAGUGUGAGGAUCGCUGGGGGUCAGCCUUGACUUGGAAUAUGCUCUCCUUUUGCUGGGAGAAUUUGGAAUGAGACUCUACAUUUUGGAUCAAGAUAACGCACAGGCAGUAAAAGUGGUUGCGAUUUCUCUGUGGUGUUUAUCGGAAAUGAGUCUGAAGACAUAGUCACAAUGAGUCAGAGAGGGAGCCCACGCCUGGAGCUGCUAAUGACUUCCCACAACUUUCCAGCGUGAGCAGAGGGGCUGAGGAAAAGACCGACGUGGGGAGGGCAAAGCUGCGGGACAGGACCUCAGGCCAGUUCGCACGAGCUCCUGGAUGCAGCUGUGCCUGCAGCCAGCAAUCACCACUGGCGUUUUCCUCCGCUGGACCAGUCAUACGUUUUCCUUUCGCGGCCAGCAAACGGGUCGGCAGCAGACACGGCCCUCCCUGACAGAGCUCCGAUGUCAGAUUUUGUCACUAUCUUGAAUUUGAAAACUCCAUUGCUCUGCUGCCUCUUCCAUGGUGCUCGGAGGUCUUGGAUUCUGCAUUCCUUCAUAUAUUCUGUGCAGCACCUGCACAGAUUCAAGGCUGUUUUCCUACUCAAAGGAAAACAAGACUGGGUGUAGAUGUAGUAAUACUUUUGGAGCGGGGCUACAAGCAAGGGUUCGCCCCCUACUUAUGUCACGGCUGUGCCUGUAGGUCUGAAGAAGAUGUUUGAGUCCACGCAGUAAAUGUCAGUCGGCUCUGCUCGUUUAUAAUCAGUAGGUUAUUCCUUCCUCAC